CAAUAGUCAUCGACAACGCUUUUAUUUUUUUUACCCUCCACGUUGUGUCAAUGUGAUUUUUGUUGUUACUGGAAACGUUUCCGUGCUCUAUUUAAGCAGGCACACGCGAAGCUAGGUGGCUAACAGACGGAGCUAACUUAGCCCGAGGCUAUUAGCAAGCUACUCCACUCCACUUACACGAAAGCGCAGCUAAAAAAAAUAGAACAGACAGACAGAUAGAUCGAUAGAUGGAUAGAUAGAUACCAUAUUAAUAGAGGAACAGUCAAACCAGUGAAAACCAAAUGCAAGAGCAGCAAAUGUGACGAAUUAACUACAUUUAAAUGGCGAGCAGGGUUGUUGUGUCCUGGAGGCUCAGAGGCAUACUGCGUUUCGGCCAACAGUUUACCACAGAUGCCAGCAAUGAAACAUGGAUGCCGGGCAGCUUUGGAGCACUUGUGCAGCCCUGGCACAGUUUAGAAAAAGCUUCUGCCUGGCCUGACUGCUGAGUCGGCAUCAGCACGGCCCAGAUGCUCAGGCAUCCCAAACUCCCACAGCCGCUCCAGGAUCACUCAGUAAGAACAGAUAAAUCGCCGACAGAUCCACACUGACUGACACAAAAACAUUCUCAUGGCCUGCUUUGGCAUUGUCGUGAGGGAAAAGAAGCUGUUUGCAUCACACAGACUUGUUAGACUUUCCAGUUUUUCUCAUUCUCCUCUGAGGCACUCUGCUCCUUAUGAAGUUUACUCGUGCACUGUUUAGGCUAACCUGCUGGUGUUUAUAUGGCGUCACCCUAAAAUGGAGCUACAGCUAAAAAUUAGCUUGUGAGCACACAGACACACCGGACAAUCGGUGCACAAUGACCCAUAGAGUGGUUAGAACAUCAAAAUGUGCAUGCGUCAUAGCCUUCGACAUCAGACAAAAAAAAAC